AUCCAGCUGACGAGUCCCAAAUAGGACGAAACUCGCAU
rnacentral:hammerhead_ribozyme from 1 species